rnacentral:rRNA from 1 species
AAAUUCCGGAGCUCAACUUGGAAACUGCCUUGGAUACUAUAGGUCUUGAAUAUCGUUGAGGUAGGCGGAAUAUGUCAUGUAGCGGUGAAAUGCUUAGAUAUGACAUAGAACACCGAUUGCGAAGGCAGCUUGCUAAACGAUUAUUGACGCUGAGGCACGAAAGCGUGGGGAUCAAACAGGAUUAGAUACCCUGGUAGUCCACGCCCUAANCGAUGAUUACUCGACAUACGCGAUAUACAGUGUGAGUCUGAGCGAAASSAUUAAGUAAUCCACCUGGGAAGUACGUCCGCAAGAUGAAACUCAAAGGAAUUGACGGGG